rnacentral:tRNA from 1 species
GCCUGGGUGGCUAAGUCGGUUAAGCAUCUGACUUAAUUUCGUAUUAGGUCAUGAUCUCACAGUUUGUGGGUUUGAACCCCACAUCAGGCU